rnacentral:rRNA from 1 species
AUUGAACGCUGGCGGCAGGCCUAACACAUGCAAGUCGAGCGGGGUUUUCGGACCUAGCGGCGGACGGGUGAGUAAUGCGUAGGAAGCUGCCCGAUAGAGGGGGAUACCAGUUGGAAACGACUGUUAAUACCGCAUAAUGUCUACGGACCAAAGUGUGGGACCUUCGGGCCACAUGCUAUCGGAUGCGCCUACGUGGGAUUAGCUAGUUAGUGAGGUAAUGGCUCACCAAGGCGACGAUCUCUAGCUGGUUUGAGAGGAUGAUCAGCCACACUGGAACGGAUACACGGUCCAGACUCCUACGGGAGGCAGCAGUGGGGAAUAUUGGACAAUGGGCGCAAGCCUGAGCCAGCCAUGUCGCGUGUGUGAAGAAGGGCCUCGGGUUGUAAAGCACUUUCAGCGAGGAGGAAGGUGUGUGUGUUAAUAGUACACACCUUUGACGUUACUCGUAGAAGAAGCACCGGCUAACUCUGUGCCAGCAGCCGCGGUAAUAC